CAAGUCCAGCACACAUGCAAUGGCUGGAAGGUUGAAGGUCAGGCAGAAACACAUUCUCUCCCCCUGCUGCCCCACUGUAUGAGUGGCUCUUGAGAGGCUAGAGGACAGGUCAGAGCUGUCUUGAAAAGGUUUAAAGCAUGAUGUCCUGGUUGCUUUUCUAUUGCUGUAUAAAACACUAUGAACAAAGCAAUGGAUAAAAGAAAGCACGUAGCUGUGUUAUGGCUUCAGAGGGUUAGAGCCCAUCGUGGCAGAGCAGAGGUGCAGCUAAGUGCUCACAUCUGCGUUCACAACCUCAGGCAGAGAGAGAAACAGUGUGGAUGCCAUAAAUCUGUUAAAACCUCCAAGCCUGCCCCUGUGACACACCAAGGCCACACUCCUAUCCUUUCCCAUUCUGCCCCACCUACUGGGGACCCAGUAUUGAAAUGUGUGAGCCUACAGAGGCCUCUGUCACUCAAACCAAACUUAGUUAAAUUAAAUGUAUCCCUUCUUCUCA
rnacentral:lncRNA from 1 species